UAUUUACUUUUAGGGCAGCUUUUUGGGACCAUAUAAAUUCAUCAUUUCCUUAUUUUUGCCACAAGAGGAAAGAAAGGAAAGACAAAAAGGAAAGAAAAUUUAAUAGAGAGAGAGAGGAGACGCCAUUCUCUCUUGGGGAGGAGCUGCUGCACCAGUUUUGGAGCUCCAGAAACCAGAGAUUUUGGUUCUUCUACCUGGGUUUUUCUAUUUUAGUCCUCUUAUCAUGUUUUUCUUUACUUUUCCAUCAAUAUUUCUUGUAAAUACCAUCAUGAGUGAGUAAACUCUUUAGAUUUCAGAGUUGGGAAAUAUGUUUUAGAUUAAUUUGUAGAUUUGGACUGGGUAUUUCCAUAUUUUAUAUAAAUAUGAGUUUUGAUUCCUUCCUUGUGUGCUUGUUUUACUUGCCUAAUGUUGGUACCCAUUGGGUAUUGUGUUAAUCUUUGAUUGAAGGACCGAAACGUGAAAGUAAUUGAUAGAUAAUUAAGGAUUGGAACUUAAAAUUACUUAGAUUUAGAAAUAAACUAGGGUUUUAAGAGGAAUUAAUGAUUGAUUACAAAACUUAAUGGGUUUUAAAUUAAUCAAAUAUCGUACGAAAGUAGGUUUGGUUAUUUUAGAACACACUUUGGUUUGCUUGAAAAAGAUAUCAAAGGAAUUUAGAAUCAAUCACCUUCAAACUCUAUUUUCCCUUAAAAUUGGAAUACCCAAGACAAAUCCCAAUUAACUUAUACAUAAACCCCCAACUCUAGAAUCACUUUAAACAUAGUAAGACUUUGAUUUAAAUUACCCGUUAUUAAUUUAGUAUAAUUACAUCUAAAUUUAGAAUUUAUUUGCUUGCUCUUUACCCAUUCCAAUUAGAUUAAUCAAUUUACUUUGCUCAUUUACAUUUACCAUUUAUUCACCGAUCAUUAGCCCAAAUAAUUGCUUCAUUCAUAGUUUGGUACUCAAACGACAAAUCUCGUAGGAACGAUACUUGAUUCAUCACUCUAUUACUUGAGACGACCCGUAUACUUGCGGAUACGCCCAUCAGUAGCCUUUCAAAUAAAUUAAGUAGAUCAAACAUACAUGUGCAGGUGCUCAACAAAUAGUCAUACCUCAAAGUGGUAAGCGAAUGCCUUGUGGCAGAAAUGAUGCACGAAAAGAAGGCUAUCCUGUUUCAUCCACUUGGAUAUCUUCUGAAGAAGAUCUUUGUAGUUUUUCAUAUGCUCAAACAUUUCAAUGGAGAAUAUACGAUCAUAGGAUGCCACCAUUUCUAAUGUGCUAAUAUCUGCAACAAUGAUUUCUACAUUCU
rnacentral:misc_RNA from 1 species